GAGGGAUCAUUACCGAGUUUACAACUCCCAAACCCCAUGUGAACAUACCUGUUUCGUUCCCUCGGCGGUGUCCGGCAACGGCCCGCCAGAGGACCAACAAACUCUUUUGAAUUUUUCAGUAUCUUCUGAGUAAAACAAACAAUAAAUCAAAACUUUCAACAACGGAUCUCUUGGUUCUGGCAUCGAUGAAGAACGCAGCGAAAUGCGAUAAGUAAUGUGAAUUGCAGAAUUCAGUGAAUCAUCGAAUCUUUGAACGCACAUUGCGCCCGCCAGUAUUCUGGCGGGCAUGCCUGUUCGAGCGUCAUUUCAACCCUCAAGCUCUGCUUGGUGUUGGGGAUCGGCAAGGCGUCCUCCGGGUCGCGCCGUCCCCCAAAUAUAGUGGCGGUCUCGCUGUAGCUUCCUCUGCGUAGUAAUACACCUCGCUCUGGAGUCUCGGUGCGGCCACGCCGUAAAACCCCCAACUUUUUUCUGGUUGACCUCGAAUCAGGUAGGACUACCCGCUGAACUUAAGCAUAUCA
rnacentral:rRNA from 1 species